rnacentral:rRNA from 1 species
CGCCUCUUGUAAAAAAAGAAAAAUAAGAGGUCCCGCCUGCCCUGUGACUAUAUGUUUAACGGCCGCGGUAUUUUGACCGUGCGAAGGUAGCGCAAUCACUUGUCUUUUAAAUGGGGACCUGUAUGAAUGGCAAAACGAAGGCUUAACUGUCUCCUCUUUCAAGUCAAUGAAAUUGAUCUACCCGUGCAGAAGCGGGCAUAUCACCAUAAGACGAGAAGACCCUAUGGAGCUUCAGACACUAAGGCAGAUCAUAAUCUUCACGCCUAAACAAAGGGCUAUAAACCUAAUGAAGCCUGCCCUAAUGUCUUUGGUUGGGGCGACCAUGGGGAAACAAAAAACCCCCACAUGGAAUGGGCACACAGUUCCUAAAAACAAGAGCCACAGCUCUAAUUAACAAUACUUAUGACCAAUUAAGAUCCGGCAACGCCGAUUAAUGAACCAAGUUACCCUAGGGAUAACAGCGCAAUCCCCUUUAAGAGUCCAUAUCGACAAGGGGGUUUACGACCUCGAUGUUGGAUCAGGACAUCCUAAUGGUGCAGCCGCUAUUAAGGGUUCGUUUGUUCAACGAUUAACAGUCCU